rnacentral:rRNA from 1 species
CUACGGGUUGCUCCAGUGGGGAAUAUUGCACAAUGGGGGAAACCCUGAUGCAGCAACGCCGCGUGGAGGAUGACACAUUUCGGUGCGUAAACUCCUUUUAUAUAAGAAGAUAAUGACGGUAUUAUAUGAAUAAGCUCCGGCUAACUCCGUGCCAGCAGCCGCGGUAAUACGGGGGGAGCAAGCGUUACUCGGAAUCACUGGGCGUAAAGAGCAUGUAGGCGGGUAAAAAAGUUGGAAGUGAAAUCCACUGGCUUAACCAGUGAACUGCUUCCAAAACUCUUUACCUAGAAUAUGGGAGAGGUAGAUGGAAUUUCCGGUGUAGGGGUAAAAUACGUAGAGAUCAGAAGGAAUACCGAUUGCGAAGGCGAUCUACUGGAACAUUAUUGACGCUGAGAUGCGAAAGCGUGGGGAGCAAACAGGAUUAGAUACCCGCGUAGUC